GACGUAGGAGGCGAGCGUUGUCCGGAUUCAUUGGGCGUAAAGGGCGUGUAGGCGGCUCGACAAGUUGGGUGUGAAAUCCCCCGGCUUAACUGGGGUAGGUCAUUCAAUACUGCCGAGCUUGAGGUCGGUAAGGGGAGACAGAAUUCCCGGUGUAGUGGUGAAAUGCGUAGAUAUCGGGAGGAAUACCGAUGGCGAAAGCGGUCUCCUGGGCCGACCCUGACGCUGAGGCGCGAAAGCGCGGGGAGCGAAC
rnacentral:rRNA from 1 species